rnacentral:lncRNA from 1 species
CAUCGAAUUUGGACCAGAGUCUGUCUCCCCCUUUUCUCUCCGUGCUCAUUGUAAGGUGUGAAGUGGAGGGCCUCCCAAACACAGACCAAGACUGGCUGCAUGUAUCACCCCGCAGAGCUGUACUCUGGCCGCAACACAUGGGACUCCUAUCCAGCUGGAGGACCUAACAGAGGACAAUGGGCUCCUAUAAACAGUCGCCCCUGGAGCCACACAGAAAGAUGCCAAGGAGGGCGCAAUCAAUCAGAUCAUCCGCCAUCAAAUCGUCUUUAUAAUAGGGGGGAGAGAACACUCAACCAUGUCCAGGACAAGGUUAUCUCUAAGGGACACAGACAGCCUCUACGUCUCUGGGAUGGCAAAGAGCAGCCGUUUGAGGCCCAGAACUGGCAUCACAACUCCACACGCUCAUUCCACAACAGAGCUGGCAUCAACAACUAUUAUCUAACAGGACCAGGAGAGCGCUACGCAACCUGGGACAACAAUGCCAGCAACUCUGUGCACGGGGGUCCUCGCCUGCAUCGCAACAACAGAGAACUCCAGUCCCCACCGGAGAGAUGGGCCCCCUCAGAUUGCCGCAGAGGCUUUCCUGGCAGAAUGAUAAACAACAAGCCAGGACCCUGGAAACGGCCAGCCGUCCACCAGCGGCGAGACCAACUGCACCAGCACAGUCCACCUCCACAGCACCUGUUAUCCCCUAGGGAAGAGUGUCCGGCCAAGAGGAGAAGGGACUCUGGCCCUGAUCAGGUAUAG